rnacentral:ribozyme from 1 species
UGCCCAGUAACUCCUAUCCAUACCACCACGUGGUAUCGGCUCUGUUUCUGUAAAUCGUCGAACUUUGGUCGUACGCUGACAGGGAAGG